CGUCCCGUAGCUCAGUGGUAGAGCACAGAGCUGAUAACUCUGGGGUCGGAAGUUCAAUUCUUCCUGGGACGA
rnacentral:tRNA from 1 species